AACGAACGCUGGCGGCAGGCCUAACACAUGCAAGUCGAGCGCCCCGCAAGGGGAGCGGCGGACGGGUGAGUAACGCGUGGGAACGUGCCUCUUGCUACGGAAUAGCCUCGGGAAACUGGGAGUAAUACCGUAUGUGCCCUACGGGGGAAAGAUUUAUCGGCAAGAGAUCGGCCCGCGUUGGAUUAGGUAGUUGGUGGGGUAAUGGCCUACCAAGCCGACGAUCCAUAGCUGGUUUGAGAGAAUGAUCAGCCACACUGGGACUGAGACACGGCCCAGACUCCUACGGGAGGCAGCAGUGGGGAAUCUUAGACAAUGGGCGCAAGCCUGAUCUAGCCAUGCCGCGUGAGCGAUGAAGGCCGUUAGGGUUGUAAAGCUCUUUCAGUGGGGAAGAUAAUGACUGUACCCACAGAAGAAGCCCCGGCUAACUCCGUG
rnacentral:rRNA from 1 species